UGAGCCUCGCUUAGCGAGUGACAUGUCGCUCAGUGAGAGGUCUCCAGCGAGAGUGACAAUGUAGAGUUGUUGUUUUGUGUCGAUUUUCCGGUCUAUUUUCCAAUUCCAACGAUUGUUGGUUGUUGUUUGAUGGUGUUUGGUAUGAUAAUUAACCUGUUUGAGUAAUGUGUGAAUAUGUGUUAUGGAAUGUAUGAAUAAUUGCGUGAAUCUUUGUGUUUACUUACUGAUAAAUUGAUGUUAAAAUGAUUUUAACAUGAUUAAAU
rnacentral:lncRNA from 1 species